CAAGAGUGAAGGGGAGGUUGGCCCCCGUCUCGAGAGAAAUCUCGACCCUGCGGCCGGCCUCUCUUGUCCUCCAACCCUUUUGUUGUUACAAUCCAUGUUGCCUCGGGGGAGUGGCUCCUGGCCCGAACCCGGCGGAAAAUCCAAUAUACUCUGUUUUAACUACAAGUCUGAGUCUUAUGAUACAAAAAAUCAUUACA
rnacentral:misc_RNA from 1 species